rnacentral:siRNA from 1 species
UCUCAAAUGAGUCUACUCCCUC